rnacentral:lncRNA from 1 species
UGAUAGAUCAUAGUUGUUUUAAUUCUUAGUUCUUUAAUUAGUAGUAAUUUAGAGCAUUAAAAAAAUCCAUCUGAGAAUUGCUUGUUCAUAUCAUUUGUAAAAGAGGAAUCUGCCAGAAGGAAGAGAGAGGCAGAUUUGGCAGGCUGAAGGACCAAGUAGAACAGGGAAAGCACAGGAAGGAGAUAGAGUUCUAAAGGAAGGGGAGAGGAAGUAAGAGGAUCUGUACAGUUGGAAGGGACUUCUCUUUGGGAAGCUCACCAGAGAGGCUGACCUGAACAGAUCUCUGAGCAGGCACAAUCCUCCUGUGACUUCUGACCCAGCAUCCAGUGAAAACAGCAGGAAGCAGAAGGAAGCCGCACAAGACCAAGGGCUAUUUUUCUAUUUCAUAAAUUGUUAUGGUAAUUAACUCAUUGCCACAUGGCCAGUCUGCAGGAAAAUGGCUGGCUCAAAAAAGGACAUGGCUGCUCCAAAAGAGCCAGGUGCUCAGUGGAAUGGAACUUCUCACUCCCCCAUUAACUAGUCUCAGACAGACAAAUGUUUUGCAACAAGCAAGUUAAUACUCAGACAUUUCAAAUGCUGCAUAGUUUCAUCUCUGUGGAACUCCACUAGUCAAACAAGAAAUCUUUAUGAAGUCAGUCUUCAUGAGUUACUAUCACCAAAAAUUUGUAUUACUUGAUGACCAUCUUUCCAAUAAAAAACUCUUCUGAAUAUAGUCA